AACGAACGUUGGCGGCAUGGAUUAGGCAUGCAAGUCGAGCGAGAACCGUAGCAAUACGGGGACAGCGGCGAAUGGGAGAGUAAUGUGUGGAUAUCUACCUCCAGGCCUGGGACAACUACGGGAAACUGUAGCUAAUACCAGAUAAUGUCUGCGGACCAAAGGUGUGAUUCCUCCGGGAGAUGAGUCCACAUCCUAUUAGCUAGUUGGUAGGGUAAUGGCCUACCAAGGCAAUGAUGGGUAGCAGGUGUGAGAGCACGACCUGCCUCAUUGGGACUGAGACACUGCCCAGACACCUACGGGUGGCUGCAGUCGAGAAUCUUCGGCAAUGGGCGCAAGCCUGACCGAGCGAUGCCGCGUGCGGGAUGAAGGCCUUCGGGUUGUAAACCGCUGUCAGAGGGGAUGAAAUACGUCGGGGGUUCUCCCCCGGGUUUGACAUAUCCUCAGAGGAAGGACGGGCUAAGUUCGUGCCAGCCGCCGCAGUAA
rnacentral:rRNA from 1 species